UCAGAUGGGAAGUGCGGCAGACAGAGCAGGGAGGGUGACCGUGCCUCUCCCAGCAGCAUGAGCGACGGCCUCUAGGGGACAAGCACCCACACGCAGCGGUGAGUCAGAGAAUCCAGCAGCAGAUGGAACACCCACUGUGUUUAAAAACAAAACACAAAAGCCACGGCUCCUCCAGGAACCCAGAGGGAAAGAGGUCCCCGGAGAUGGAAUCGGAGCGGCCUGGUUAGGACUUUCCCAGCAGGCCCCGUGCGGUUCACCUCCAGGUACCGGCUUCCAGCAGCCUUGCAAGCCAGCCCCAGGAAAAAAAAAGAAAAAAAGAAAAAAAAAUGGACUGUGGGUCAGGUAAUGUAAGCAACAGACCAUGAGAUGAUUGCCAAAAAUGUAACCACCCAAUCGGCUCCAAAGGAAAAUAUUCAUUAAAGUGACACAUGUUAAUAGGA